ACACGAAAGGGGAAAGGAGGAACAGAUCUGAAAAAUUAUAAAAGGACUGAGAGAGAGAAACAGGAAAAGAAGACUAGAAACAGAGGAGUACGACACAAAGAAAAUCCGAAGCUCCACCAGACCCUGACUCCUUUUUCUUCUCCAUCAAAAGCCUCACGACCACGAAAACCUAAUAAAAAGACUGUAAAUCACCUCUAAUCAACUGUGAUUGUACCAUAAAUCAAAAAAUUUCUGUCCACUAAUUUCUCCCGAUCCUAACACCACCGCGAUUUAGCGCCGCAACACCUGCAAAAUUUUGAUUCUCCGAUUUCGGCGCAUACUGAUCUUCAUGUAGAGUUGAGGGAAAACUCACAAAUAAGAUUUAUCUGUUAGUUUCCUUCUCAAUAUCCGAGUGCGGUUUUAGCGAGGUUCCUUUCAGGUCGCCGGCGUGGUUUAUGGUUUGCCGCUGAACUGGUCGAGGUCCCUAUCUUGAUUCGAGUUUAUGUUUUGCUGGUCUGUACUGGUUUCGGGACUCCGUGCAUUUGAAUCAUUGGAACUCAAUUAAAGGCAUGUUGGAGGAUUGGAGCUUAACGAAGAAAUUUAACUCAAAAAGGAGUAUUCCAGCUCAACAAGGCAAAAAGAAAAAGUGCAAGCAGAAGUGCAGUCUGUAGAAGAUCAUGUGGACCGCAGAAAUAUAAGUGUGGCCACAAAAGAAUCCCUGAAUCCUCGGAGGAGUUUAUAAAAGCGCAGCAUGCACACCAAAUUAUGCGGCUGCAAAAGUUGGGCGCACAAACAAAAUUUGACAAGUUCAGAGAAGGUGCAAAAGACCAAGUGUGAAGCCUCAUUAAAGUGCGGUGCAAUCAAAAUAUGCGGCCGCAGAUUUCCUCACAUUUCCAGAGAAGAAGAUAAGUGCAGUCCGCACAUGCAAUUAUUCAGCCGUAGAACCUCCGAAAGAUAUUUUUAUCAACGAAUUUCUGGGUACUAUAAAUAGAUGGAAAAUACUUUUUUAGGGCAAGUUUUAUAUUCCUAGCAGUUGUAGCGGUGAUAUUUUACCCUUCUGGGAAAGUAGUGAUCAAAAUUGAAGAAGAUCCAUUAAUUUUAUCUUUGAAUUGUAGUUUAUGGAUUUAAUUACUUCUUCUACUUUGUUUUCUAUGCUUUCUAGGAUGAGUAACUAGAUUUUAGCUAGGAUUAUGACCCAACCCUAGUAUAUAAAUCUUAUGGGUUGUUAAUUCUAAUGCUUAUUUAUGAUUGAGUAUUUGUUA